AUUUUAAAUUGUCAUUUACCAGUCUCAAAAGCAUAAUAUUAUUUUCACCAUAGUUUGAAUUAAAUUUUUCUUUUUUUGUUUGUUUUUGAAUUAGUUUGUUUAAACCACGACCAUUUUAAUUAUUAUGCAUUGUAUAUAGGGUUUAUGAACAUUUAAUUUAAGCAUUACCCACUAUCUACUAUAGAUUUAAUUUUAUACUUUGAUGUGAUGUUUUUUUAAAUUAUAUUAUCUCGUCUCAAUGUUUUUAUCUUAUAUGCCCCUCAUCUCUUUGUCAUUUUGUCUUGUCUAUUAAUGUUCAAACUGAACCUAAGUCUUAUGCCGAGGCUAUAAGUGUGACACUUCGAACAAAACCAAACAAGUCGAGUUGGGUGCCCUAGAGAGGACUGGAAUAUGAAAACUAGUUGACCUCCCUCCUCAUGUAAAACCAUUAGGAUGCAAACGGACAUAAAAAAGCAGGCAUGACAGAGAUGGUAUAUUGAACAAUUUAAGGCCAUAUUGUGGCAAAAGUGUAUAACAUAAUAUAGGGACUAGAUUUCUAUGAUACAUACUCCCCUCCAUCCAAAAUGACCAGUGUGAUUCUAGUAGUCACACUAACUCUCAAAGCACAAUUGGAAUAUACAUAAACUUGAUGUAAAAAGUACAUUCAUAGAUGGAAACCUUCAAGAAGUUGUUUAUAUGGAAAUAACCCAUGUGGCUAUCUCGUCUAGACCUAACAAAGUGAGAGAGCUUAUUAAAUCCAUAUAUGGCCUUAAAGAGGCGUGUAGGAAAACAUAUGAGAAGCUAACCACGUUCCAACACAAUAUCACCAAGCCGCGUCUGAAUCUCGCCUUAGUCAUUCACAUUAUUGAUAGUAUAUUGGUAUGAUGCGAUACAAGCCGAUAAUUCACUUUCUAAAUUUAGCACCCUCAAAGUAGUUCUCCCGGAAUCCUUCAAGAUCAAAAAAUUAGGUCAACUUAAAUACUUUCUUGGCAUUGAAUUCUCCUGUUCUAUCAAAGGAAUUUAGAUUUGUCAAAUAAUAUACUUGCAUGAUCUCAUUUGUGACAACUUCUUUCUAAGCUCCAAACAUGUAUCAACAUCAUCUGAUUACUCUCUAAAAUUUCUGCGGGACUGUGAGGCUUUAUUGCCAGACAUUUGUACAAAUUAAAGAAACAUAGACGCAUUAUUGUAGAAUACCAAAACAAAACCUAUCAUCUCAUACAUCGUUCAAUAACCCAUCAAGUUUAUUUACAAGACUGGUCUCAUUCACUUCCAUGUUGCAACUCGAGUAAUCAAGUAUCUCAAACAAUGCCCAAGCAAUUGUGUGUUUUUACCUAGAAAGUCACCGCUACAAACCAUUGGUUUCACAACCGUAGGAUGGGAUCGAUACAUUUAUUCUAGAAUAUUAAGUUUUGGACAGUUCUUCUUCCAUUGUAGAGAUCUAAUAUCUUUGAGAACCAAUAAACAUCUCACAGUAUACAUAUCAUAUUAUGAGGCAGAAUAUUGAGCAUAUUCACUUCAACUAUCCAAGUGAAAGAGUGAAAGUUAAUUUACAAUAAAGUUUCUCAUUCUAAUUACCUUAAAGAACGAGUCAUGACAAGGAAUGAAAGGGAAAAAGAUAGAUAGAGACGCAAAAGUAUAUUUCUACGAUCCAUCGCAUCAUCAUAGAUGAAGCUAUGUCUAUUAAUGUGUUUAUCAUGCGAAAAUCAUAGGUUCCAAAAUUCUUAUAAUGUUUUAAUGUUCUAGAAUUUAAACAUGAUUUUGAAAACUGUAACUUACUUUUUCUUCUCAACGACUCGAAGUUGUUGUUCUUUUUUUCAGGGACUAAAUUAAACCUUGCAUGUUUUGAAAGAGUAAAGUGAAAUUUGAUUAUGUUGAUAAUAAUAAUAACAACAUAACUCAUAUGCAAUAUAAAAUACUAUUGAUUAGUUAUAUUAUAUAGUAUAGACUUGCAUAGUUACAUGUGUAGUAUCUUUUGCAAGUGCUCCCAAUAAGCACCAGUGGUCUAGUGGUAGAAUAGUACCCUGCCACGGUACAGACCCGGGUUCGAUUCCCGGCUGGUGCACAAGUAGAGCUAUGAUGAACAAAUUAGUGAUGUUUGGUAACCUCACCAGUCAUCCUUCGUUUGGAUGAAGUGUAAACUCCCUGAGCUCUAUUUUAAUUUUAAAUUGUCAUUUACCAGUCUCAAAAGCAUAAUAUUAUUUUCACCAUAGUUUGAAUUAAAUUUUUCUUUUUUUGUUUGUUUUUGAAUUAGUUUGUUUAAACCACGACCAUUUUAAUUAUUAUGCAUUGUAUAUAGGGUUUAUGAACAUUUAAUUUAAGCAUUACCCACUAUCUACUAUAGAUUUAAUUUUAUACUUUGAUGUGAUGUUUUUUUAAAUUAUAUUAUCUCGUCUCAAUGUUUUUAUCUUAUAUGCCCCUCAUCUCUUUGUCAUUUUGUCUUGUCUAUUAAUGUUCAAACUGAACCUAAGUCUUAUGCCGAGGCUAUAAGUGUGACACUUCGAACAAAACCAAAC
rnacentral:lncRNA from 1 species